GUUUUCCAAGUGGGUUUGCACCUGAGGGAUGCCGGGAGGUCAGCAUGCUGUACAAGUGCUAAUACAUAGAAGUAACACGUUCACAAGCACAUGCAGGAGAAGCUAGAUGACGCGGAUGAAGUGGCUAACUGCCACUUGCCUUCUUCAACGUGUCAGUUUGUGGUAAAACGCUAGCGUGGUAAGCUAGUAAGUGUCACACUCACCCCGUGUUGGUGUGUUUGUUGCAUAAGCUAUUGGUACUCCUGGAAGCUUAAGGUUGAAAGGAAGUAGCUUGCUGCUUGAACAGUUAGUUUUGUUCUGAAGAGUAAAGUGACAUGACUUCCCCUUGUCUCCUCACCAUUAACAGUAUCUCUCCACUUGAAAGGCAAGUUGUUAAAGAAGUAAUGUGGUUCAAGUCAAGUCAAGCCUUUCAUAGUAAAAAGUCCUAAGUCAUGAACCAUUUAAGUCCCUCAACCUCUGACUCGUACCUUGAGCACCUCUACUGGAACCUGAGCUGGAGGUGCGCAGGGGGACGCACUGACGCAGACGGGGGACGACACCGAGCCGGCGGGCAACCGCAGAAGCUGCUGCUGUGCUUCCUUUUGUUGCUCCUCAAGAGCCUGCUGACGCAUCAGAUCCUGACGCAACAGGACCCUGCGGGUCAGAGCAGCCGUUAGUAUUGGACCUCAGCGGCCAUGACUGGGCCGUGAUUGGGUUAGGAGAGAAGCCGGACGCUUACCUGGAGGACAUGGCCACCGGCACAGAUGAAGAGAAUGACAAGGAGGAGGAAGAGGAGGCAUUCACUGAAGUGCUGAGGAGACAUCAAGAGACACAAAUGUCUUCUUUUUUUAUGUACACUACAUUGGAAUUGAAUCAUUACUUUAUCACAGUUAAUGAUAAAGUUUGUCCAUAAUAAAAAUGUUACAAUGGCUGAAAAUAAUAUACACUGUGCAGAGACACAAGUCCAGGAGCUGGUGGCAUUACCUGCUGCGGAUGGGCUGACUCUUGAUCUGGUAGAAGGUGUCGUAGUCUGAUGGCAGCAGGGCAUCCACCUCAAUGUCGGCGACGAUGCCAGACUCCACUCUGAGCAAGCAGACACAACCGAUCAAUCAGAGGCCUCUUGGUUCAUGCCAAAAAACACCCGUUUCAUUCUCCUUUUAAAAUUAUAUCAUUUAUAGUUCAUAGUUUAUAGUUCAUAUUUAUUUAAGGUUACAAGGGUAUGAUUUAGAUAUAUGUGUAGUAAAUAAUGAUUCUUCAGUACGACUAUGGUCUAGUAUACGUGUAAGAAUGCCUGGUGUCUUGAAUGAGUGUUUUUUUUCAUCCUCUUCCUCAUUCCUGACCCCCACCCCCCUACCCCCCAAAAAAUCUGUGUGCGUUUCAGCUGAGUCACUUCCUACUUCUCACCACAAAGACCCCCUCCUCCUCCUCUCUGCCCUCCAAAAUUUCCAUGGAACAAACAUAGCUGUAUCGGGACAGUAGGAAAUCAUGAGAAAGGUCUUGUAAUUUUCCUUUCAGACGCGGUGUUUAGGUCUUUUGAAAGAAGGUUUUGGGGUCAUUUGUUGUGCUGCGUUACUUUGUUGGUCAUUAAAAAGAAUGUAUUGCCUUGUGGCAUCUGGAAAGAGUUGGCAGGUCAACAUUCAAUUGGCAGAAUGCAGUUAAAAAAAAAAAACGAAAUUGCACA